UACGUAGGGUCCGAGCGUUGUCCGGAAUUAUUGGGCGUAAAGGGCUCGUAGGCGGUCCGUCACGUCGGGAGUGAAAACUCAGGGCUCAACCCUGAGCGUGCUUCCGAUACGGGCGGACUAGAGGUAUGCAGGGGAGAACGGAAUUCCUGGUGUAGCGGUGAAAUGCGUAGAUAUCUGGAGGAACACCGGUGGCGAAGGCGGCAUCCUGGACCGGCAUUGACGCUGAGGCGCGAAAGCCAGGGGAGCAAACGGG
rnacentral:rRNA from 1 species